AACGAACGCUGGCGGCAGGCUUAACACAUGCAAGUCGAGCGCCCCGCAAGGGGAGCGGCAGACGGGUGAGUAACACGUGGGAAUCUACCCAUCUCUACGGAAUAACGCAUGGAAACGUGUGCUAAUACCGUAUACGUCCUUCGGGAGAAAGAUUUAUCGGAGAUGGAUGAGCCCGCGUUGGAUUAGCUAGUUGGUGGGGUAAAGGCCUACCAAGGCGACGAUCCAUAGCUGGUCUGAGAGGAUGAUCAGCCACACUGGGACUGAGACACGGCCCAGACUCCUACGGGAGGCAGCAGUGGGGAAUAUUGGACAAUGGGCGCAAGCCUGAUCCAGCCAUGCCGCGUGAGUGAUGAAGGCCCUAGGGUUGUAAAGCUCUUUCACCGGUGAAGAUAAUGACGGUAACCGGAGAAGAAGCCCCGGCUAACUUCGUGCCAGCAGCCGCCCCGUAAUAC
rnacentral:rRNA from 1 species